rnacentral:tRNA from 1 species
GGGGAUAUAACUCAGUGGUAGAACAUUUGCCUAGCAUGCACAAGGCCCUGGGUUCAAUCCCCAGUACUUCA